UGUUCGCCAGGGUACUACGAGCAUUAGCUUAAAACCCAAAGGUUUUGAGGGUGCCUUAGACCCCCCUAGAGGAGCCUGUUCUAGAACCGAUAACCCCCGUUAAACCUCACCAUUUCUAGUCGCAUCAGCCUAUAUACCGCCGUCGUCAGCUUACCCUGUGAAGGAGCAAAAGUAAGCAAAAGGAGUAAAACCCAAAACGUCAGGUCGAGGUGUAGCGAACGAAAUGGGAAGAAAUGGGCUACAUUUUCUACAGCAGAACAUUACGAACACGCAAUAUGAAACAAAUGCUUGAAGGAGGAUUUAGUGGUAAAAAGGAAAUAGAGUGUCCUUUUGAAUCCGGCCCUGAGGCACGUACACACC
rnacentral:rRNA from 1 species